rnacentral:rRNA from 1 species
AGUGAACGCUGGCGGUAGGCCUAACACAUGCAAGUCGAGCGGCAGCACAGUAAGAGCUUGCUCUUACGGGUGGCGAGUGGCGGACGGGUGAGGAAUACAUCGGAAUCUACUUUUUCAUGGGGGAUAACGUAGGGAAACUUACGCUAAUACCGCAUACGACCUACGGGUGAAAGCAGGGGAUCUUCGGACCUUGCGCGAUUGAAUGAGCCGAUGUCGGAUUAGCUAGUUGGCGGGGUAAAGGCCCACCAAGGCGACGAUCCGUAGCUGGUCUGAGAGGAUGAUCAGCCACACUGGAACUGAGACACGGUCCAGACUCCUACGGGAGGCAGCAGUGGGGAAUAUUGGACAAUGGGCGCAAGCCUGAUCCAGCCAUACCGCGUGGGUGAAGAAGGCCUUCGGGUUGUAAAGCCCUUUUGUUGGGAAAGAAAAGCAGCAGGUUAAUACCCCGCUGUUCUGACGGUACCCAAAGAAUAAGCACCGGCUAACUUCGUG